CGCAUGUCUCUCAUUCAUGCAUCUGUCGCUCCGGCGGCCAAACACGUUUCACUCGCUCGUCGUAAAUCCCGUCAUGCGGUAUUAUCGCGCAUAAAUUCUCCUAUCGUGGACAUUUACGAUACUUCUCCAAUUACUUGAGCCGAGAUCAACUUGUGCCGCCUAAUAAACACUUUCUUACUUAUUAAGAGAGCGCUUGCGACCAUCGAAAAUGGGCCCUCUUUUGUGAAAAGAAGAUUUUCUUCCUUUUUGAAAAUACAGCGAUUCCGUUGUUCUAUAUAUAUAUAUGUUGAGCACGAAUGAAAAAUGUGAGUGAACUUGACAUUUGCCACGGAUAUUCCAAGUGGAAGAUAAAUUAUUAUUGGUUGUGAAAUUGGCGUAAAAAGAUAACACGGUGGAUUUCCAAUUAUAAUGAUUUUAAUUAUAAUGGAAGAAUGAUUUAAUAAACGGUAAGCAAUAAAAAGAAAACGAAUAUGGAUUAUGGAUAACCAACAAUCUAUCGUUGGAAGAGUCAUCAAAGGUUUUUAAUAUUUAUAUUAAUAUUCUUUCUCCCAAAAUUUUAAUUUUGUUGACAAUUUAAUAUUAAUUUGUAAAUAAAACUGCAUCGAUUAUAAAAUGCUUGGAAAAAUGAAAAUUUAAUCCAACCUCUUUGGCAAAUUGAAGACUUGGUUAAUUGAAUUGAAUGAAGAAAAUGUUAAUAUUAGAAGUGGAAAGUCGUUUGAAUAUUGCCUAAGGGAAUAACAAUUCUAAAAUAAGCUUAGAAAACAGUAUUUUAAUGAGCUAAGCUAAUCCAACUCUAACUUAAUUUAAUUUUCUCCAUAAAUUUUUGAUAUUAAGCAAAUUGAAAGGAGAAAAUAUAUUGGAACAUAUUUUAA